UCCUCCAAGGCUAAAUACUCCUGACUGACCGAUAGUGAACCAGUACCGUGAGGGAAAGGCGAAAAGAACCCCGGCGAGGGGAGUGAAAAAGAACCUGAAACCGUGUACGUACAAGCAGUGGGAGCACCCUUUGGGGUGUGACUGCGUACCUUUUGUAUAAUGGGUCAGCGACUUAUAUUCUGUAGCAAGGUUAACCGUAUAGGGGAGCCGGAGGGAAACCGAGUCUUAACCGGGCGUUAAGUUGCAGGGUAUAGACCCGAAACCCGGUGAUCUAGCCAUGGGCAGGUUGAAGGUUGGGUAACACUAACUGGAGGACCGAACCGACUAAUGUUGAAAAAUUAGCGGAUGACCUGUGGCUGGGGGUGAAAGGCCAAUCAAACCGGGAGAUAGCUGGUUCUCCCCGAAAGCUAUUUAGGUAGCGCCUCGUGAA
rnacentral:rRNA from 1 species